rnacentral:rRNA from 1 species
AUUCCAGCUCCGCAGGUGUAUAUCUAUGCUGCUGCGGUUUAAAAGCUCGUAGUUGGAUCUGCGUGCUCGGAACUGGUUGGCUCACUGAGUUCAAACUGGUCUCCGGCGCUUUAUUGGCUGGUUUUCCCUUGAUGCUCUUAACCGGGUGUCUUGGGUGGCUAGCACGUUUACUUUGAAAAAAUUAGAGUGCUCAAUACAGGCGUAAAGCCUUGAAUAGUGGUGCAUGGAAUAAUAGAAUAGGACCUCGGCUCUAUUUUGUUGGUUUUCGGAACGCGAGGUAAUGAUUAAGAGGGACAGACGGGGGCAUUCGUAUUGCGACGUUAGAGGUGAAAUUCUUGGAUCGUCGCAAGACGGACGACUGCGAAAGCAUUUGCCAAGAAUGUUUUCAUUAAUCAAGAACGAAAGUUAGAGGUUCGAAGGCGAUCAGAUACCGCCCUAGUUCUAACCGUAAACGAUGCCAACUAGCGAUUCGCAGGCGUUAAACAACGACCUUGCGGGCAGCUUCCCGGAAACGAAAGUGUUCGGGUUCCGGGGGAAGUAUGGUUGCAAAGCUGAAACUUAAAGGAAUUGACGGAAGGGCACCACCAGGAGUGGAGCCUGCGGCUUAAUUUGACCCAACACGGGAAAACUCACCCGGCCCGGACACCGUAAGGAUUGACAGAUUGAGAGCUCUUUCUUGAUUCGGUGGGUGGUGGUGCAUGGCCGUUCUUAGUUGGUGGAGCGAUUUGUCUGGUUUAUUCCGAUAACUAACGAGACUCUGGCCUACUAAAUAGUGGGCGGAUUCUUUCUGUCCGCAACACUACUUAGAGGGACAAGCGGUGUUCAGCCGCACGGGAUUGAGCAAUAACAGGUCUGUGAUGCCCUUAGAUGUCCGGGGCUGCACGCGCGCUACACUGAAGGAAUCAGCGUGCUUUCUGACCUUGCCCGAAAGGGCUGGGUAACCCGAUGAAAAUCCUUCGUGAUUGGGAUAGGGACUUGCAAUUAUUUCCCUUGAACGAGGAAUUCCCAGUAAGUGUGGGUCAUAAGCUCGCGUUGAUUACGUCCCUGCCCUUUGUACACACCGCCCGUCGCUGCCCGGAACUGAGCCGUUUCGAGAAGAACAGGGACCGUCGUUGAAGGGCCUUAACGGGCUUUUCUCUGAUAGAAACUGUU